ACCACUUUCCUUUAUCCCAUAGCCCUGAAAUGAUCAUGUCUGGUCGAAAGGGCUCUAAUCCAAAAACCUUAAAAACCUCGGCGUUGCGAUCUGUUGUGUUGGAAACGUUCACUGCCCGCGUACCAGGGGUGCGUGGUGGUUGCGCGUAGUUUUGGGUGCUUAACAAAUAUUUAUCGCACUUUUCGAUUAGGUUGGGGCAUUUGCGCUUGUCUCUUUAUAGCCUCGGGUCUUCUGCGUUGAACCUUUGCCUGUAUUGUCAGUUGCCAGGCAUGGGUAAACUUCCAUCACGUAUGAAAGUGCACUGGGCACGUAAACUGUGGUUUUAAUGGGGGAGGAAGAAAUUUGAAAAGGCACAUGAACACUAAGCACAAAGGGUUGCCCAUUGUUCUUAAGAAUUCAUGUUUUAGUUCAGGUGGAACAUGGGAAUCUUGGCUCCAAGGAAUGAACAGUGGCACAGAUGGCAGAGAACAAUGCACCAACACUUUUGAGAUGCCAAGUAGGUCAUCCAGUCUAGCUUUGUCAUCAGUGUCUGCAGACCAGACUGGAGGUCCGUCCUAUCGUGGCGUUUUGUGCUGCCCUGGUCCGCAACUUGAAGGCAAGGAGAGAGGGAGCUGGCGCGGAUGGUGGAAGAAAAGGAACAGCAAACAAGGCGAUCCUGGACAACAUGCUCGAUGUCCGGUCGGCUGGUGACCUAAAGGGUUUCCAGACCUAACAAAAAUCAGUCGACGCCCAGGUGAGCACAGUCUCCGAAGCCAUCGGACAUCUGGUGUCCGGCAAGCUGGUCCGCCAUCGGCUGCGGCGCCGAGCUGCAGCGUUCGCGAAGCAAUCAGCAUCCUGCGUAGUGAGGAACGCACUAGCUCCAACCAAGCUCUCUUGAAAGCUUUGUGGAAACGUGGUCGCUCGAUCGAACCUUUCGUCAGUCUAAUCGUCCGCGCGUGGUUGCGCAGUCCUGUCGAAAGUGUGGUUGAGUCCAUGGGCAGCGUAUUCAAGGAGGUUUUCUCCAUGCGUCGGCAGCUGAGGCAUGACAAUGCCGCGAAGGAGCUCAGGAUUGGAUGGAAUGGUCCUGAGCUUGAUGGUGCCGAACAUCUCAUAAGAGCUGUUCAGAAGCGUCACCAGUUUGACUUCGUGAGGCAGUCUGUCAACGUGAAGCACGUGCUCACGGGAACGGUGAUUGCCCGACACAGAGCAUGCCGAUCAUAUCGCUCCUGCCUUUUCAAGUAGUUGAAGAGAAAAGGAGUGCUGGCAUCGUGAGUCAGCCCUUGGAUCAAAUUUUGCGUGCGCGGUUAACGUUCUGGAGCUCACGGCGAGUGCUGAAGCACUGUAGGCAGGGUUCUUAGGCUUUCGUUGUGUGCUGAACUGUACGCGGCGUAUUUGGCAUUUUGUACUGACACCAUGUCGACGCGAUUAUGUACGUACCCAGGGUGAAUUCAGUGUAAAUACAAAAAAUCGUCGCGAA